rnacentral:rRNA from 1 species
CCUACGGGCGGCUGCAGUGGGGAAUUUUCCACAAUGGGCGAAAGCCUGAUGGAGCAACGCCGCGUGUGUGAUGAAGGUCUUCGGAUCGUAAAGCACUUUCGACCGGGACGAAAAACCUCUGGCUACCAUCCAGGGGCCUGACGGUACCGGGAGAAGAAGCACCGGCUAACUCUGUGCCAGCAGCCGCGGUAAUACAGAGGGUGCAAGCGUUGUUCGGAAGUAUUUGUCGUAGAGCGGGUAUAGCCGAUGUGAAAGCCCAUGGCUUAACCAUGGAAGUGCGUCUGAAACUGCCGAGCUUGAGUGCCGGAGAGGAUGGCGGAAUUCCGCAAGUAGAGGUGAAAUUCGUAGAUAUGCGGAGGAACACCGGUGGCGAAGGCGGCCAUCUGGACGGUAACUGACGCUGAGACGCGAAAGCGUGGGGAGCAAACAGGAUUAGAUACCCCGGUAGUC